CUCCGAAAAAUCUAACUCCACGCUACUCGCCAAUAUUCCCAACUGUAGAAUGACAAUUUACUACCGUCGUUCAGCCAUAAUCCUUCUUAAUUCUCUGUAAAUAACGUUCUAUUGGAGAGUACUUUGGUCAUUUGAUAUGUAGACGGCUCGACAAUAAAAUAAAGAGGAAACCUUUACCUUCUCUUUCUUCUUCUCAUUCGUUAGAAAACACGCACUUACACUCUGGAGUGUGUGUCGUAAUCUGGCCAUGGAGAUGAAUAAACAGAGCUCAAAAGCUCUGGAAGAAACGGAAAUGGGGAAUUUGAAGCCUAACAAGGAAGAAGAAGUGCUAGAGAAAAUUGGGAAAAAUGAUGAACAGAUUCGAGGAAGUAGUUAUUCUACAGUUCAGAAAACUUCAAUUGGAGUAGCAAAAGAAUCAAAAGAUUCUGAAUUUGAAGUUCUUCCGUCCGCACAAAUAUCGGAGAGUGAUGUCCAAUCCAAUUUUAGUUUCUCCUCUGAACAUCUCUCCGGUACCUCUGAUUCGUCCUCUUAUAACCGUGAUAUUUUGUUUUUUUAUAAUUUUUAAAUGAAAUUUUACGAUCAAUUUUGUGUAUGCAUGUAUAUACGUUAGAGUAACGCGUAGUGAUUGUGAUGAAUUUUUGUUGGCAGAGGUGCCGGUGAAAUAUACUCUGCAACCGCUAGUCUCGGAUGAUGAAUUAAAGGUUAGCAGCAAGUUGCGCGGUCCUUUUGUCAAAUCAUUUCAGAUUAAUUUUGAUUGUUGGGUUUUUCUUCCGAUAAAUUUUAUUGGAUUGCAAUUGUUCUUAUCUCAAAUGUUGCCUUGAAAGUGAGUUGGAUUAAGGUAUUGACUAUAGACUCUUGAUUUGAGUAAUUUGACAUAAAAUCGAUAAGCUAUGUGGAAGUGGAUUGAAUAAGAACGUAGAAUGAGAAUAUGCUUUGUGUGAAUGGAUAUUCAAUAAGCUAAUUGUACUCCGUGGGUUGAAUAUUGGAUGUCUUCUUUUUCUUUUGGAAUGGUUAAGAUGUGUUUUAGCUUUCCUUAUGAUAAUUCUGUACCUAUUAUACUAUUACUACCAUUACAAGAAUUCUGCAUUUGUUCGUUUCUAACCUACAAAUUUAGAAACUUGUAUCCCCUCUUGUUUUGUUCUUAUCGUAUAGAGUUUGAAUGAGUUCUCAAAGUAUGUCUUAGUUGAAUACAGGUUUCAUGGUUUUGUUAGUUUGUUGUAAAUGUAUGUAAUAUGGCUCACCAAGCUCGUGAUGGCUAACUAGAUUAAGCUCUAGUCUAAAAUACAAAAAGCUAAUGCUAAAUGACUGUUUGUGGAUGGCUUUAUUUGCUCUAGUCUGGAAGUGCCUUUUCGUUGACUUCCAUUUGGCAUAUCAAUCAGACUUUUUUAUACUGAAAUGGUUGCAAAGUUGGAUGGCUAACUAGAUCGACCUUUCGUAUGAAUCUUUUUUUCUCCAAAUAAAUAAAUAAAUAAAAAGGAAAGAAAAGAAUUGUGGGUAAACGACUGUUUCUGGGAAGUUUCAUUUCCUCUAGUCUAGACAUGGCUUUUUUUAGUUGGCAUCUAUAUGAAUUGGACUUUCUGAUAUUGAAAUUGUUUUAAAAUUUGAUUGCUAACUAGAUAAAGAUCUCAUCUUAUUUAUAUUAUACAAAAAGUUGUGGCUAAAUGACAAGUUUUUUAAUAGUUUAUCCUGUAGUCUGGAAGUGCCUUUGCUUUAAUUGCGAUUUUUCCUAUCAAUCAGACCUGUUAUACGUAAGUGAAUGGAUAAUUUAUCUAUUCAUUUAUGUAUUCAGGUCGCACUGUUUCUGCAGCAAGUACUGGCUUCAUUGAUUCAUGUUAUCAUGCACAUAUUGGCUUUUAAAAAUUUUUUCACCUGCUCGACGGCAUGGCUUAUUAGAACUUAUGCUUACUUUUUGUUUAUACAUAGAGCGAGUCUGUCGUUGACUUAAUGCGUGGUCAAUUUAUAUAUAUAUAUAUAUAUAUAACAGAGGCACUCUUCAACAUCUUAGAUAAUAGUGGAUUUGAUAUCAUAAUUUCAUCUUCCUAUUCUUAAUUAUCUCAGGAUCAAGUAAGAGUAACCCUCAAGGAACAUUUGAUUGGUAAUACUGGUCAAUCUGCCCAUGUUGAGACACACAAUCAGAUAACGUUACCUGAUGGUCCGUCCAAGUUGAGUCUCUCCCCAACUUCCGUUCGAGAGAGCAUUUCGCCAGGUCCAAGUUCGGCUUUACAAGAAAGAAAAUUGUCACCUACAGAGAACGGAAACAACUCAUGUCUGGCAGAACAGGACAGGCAGAAUUCUUCAAACCCAAAACUGUUAUCCGCACCAAAGCCGAAGACAUCUGCUGAUGGGUACAAUUGGCGAAAAUAUGGUCAAAAACAAGUAAAGAGUCCUGAAGGUUCUCGGAGCUAUUACAGAUGCACAUUUUCUGACUGUCAUGCCAAAAAGAUUGAGUUCUGUGAUCAGUUUGGCAAUGUCAUUGAGAUUGUGUACAGAGAUCACCACAAUCAUGAUCCGCCUCAAAAAGUAAAUUGCAACAGGGAAAGCAGGCAUGCGUUACCAGUUGUGCCAGCCAAUGGGAGUGACAAUGCAGCUUGUCCAGUAAAUGCUAUUAAUGAUUCUGACAUGGAAAAACCUGUAAUGGAGAUGGCGCAGUUACCUGAGACAAAUCGGCAGGACGCAACUAAUUCUGAUGAGAUCGUGGAAAUUAGUACCAAGGAAGAACAUGUUAAUGAAGUUGAACAUAAAAAAAGGCAAGUUGUUGAUUAAGUGACAGCCAUUGUCUUUCAGUUUAGGUUACCUAUGUUUCUUUUCCUGAUGAUAGUUCCCUAGCAGAUAGAUCUGAUACUAUUUCACGUCUUUGAAUUGCCAGGCAGGAGAAGAGUGUCACCAGUGAUAUGUUAACCAUCGCCAAACCUGGAAAGAAACCUAAAACUGUUGUUGAAGAGGCUGGUGAUGUGGGGAUAUCAGGAGAUGGCUACAGAUGGCGCAAGUAUGGACAGAAGAUGGUGAAAGGGAACGUUCACCCAAGGUGAAUUCCCAGCUUUCUAUAUUACAUUACGACACUAUCUCAUAGAUUAGAUUUAUUUCAUUAAUUUUUUUCCCUAACUGCUCAGUUUUCAAGAACUAUUGGAAACUUCAAUAUAGUCUGCAUUUAUGAUAGAUUCUGUCAAACUCCUCCACGUCUCUGUCUCUUCUGCACAUCAACCCCAAAUCACUUGCUUUUUUCUAAUUUUUCAUAAUUUAAGGUCAUUUUUCAAAUUGGAAAUUAUUACAAGCCUGAGGUGCAUGAGCGCUAACCUGCAUAAAUAAUUACAUUUCAAACUCACCUCCCUCCCCCACUCAAAAAAUAAGGAUAAGGAAAAUAAAAAGCAUGCAUAGACAUACUCAAAUAUAUAUGAGGUCAUUAUUAGUAGCAAGUCUUGUAGAGCAUGACGCAUGGUGGUAAAGAUCUGUUAGUUCUACGUUUUGGGCCCUCGAUUAACUCAACAGUUUGUAAUGGUAAAUAUGGCAUAUACAACUUAGAAAAAAUGAAUCAAAGAAAAAUGAAGAUUAAAGUGAGGGAGAGAUUAUUAAAGCACAAGAAGGCACUGAAUGUUUAUUGUAGAAUUUGAAGGGGGACUCAUCCUCCAAACAAGCUGGCUCUUGAUCUAUAAAGAACGUGCUUUUUUUUUUUUUUUUCCGAAACAAACUUGACUCCUCUAAUCCAUGUAUUAUAGAGAAAUUCCCCUAUGUAAUGAGUUUUUAUGGGUAUCCAAAAAAAUAAAUAAUAAUAAUAAAAUAAUAAAAUAAAAUAAAAUAAAAUAAAAUAAUAAUAAUAAUCAUAAUAAAUAAUUAGAGCUUCCUAAAGAAUAAUGGGGUGUCUUUUUAGUCAUUGAUUAUUUCAAAAUAAUAUUCAUUUCUUUGAAUAGCACACUUGAAAUCUCUGUAUACUUUCUUUUCUUUUCUUGUGAUUAAUACAUAAGUUUAUCUGAUUUCUGGAAAACGUUCUGUUAGAAUGACCCCUCCAACCUUGAUCUCCAUAGUAAAAUAACUAAAUUUUACUUUGACAACAUUGCAUACAACUCAGCGACUGCGGAUUGCAGGUUCUGUUAAUUAGAGAAGGCACAGUAGAGUAGAUUUCUGGACAUGGACUCUCAAUGUAAAUAUUUAAACAGUACUUAGUGAAUCUUUAGAGAAAAUACAUAUUCAUAGCAAUGAAUGCUACAGAAUCCAUGCAUAACUAUUUUAGGUAUUAUUCACUUUAUAAAAAGAUUAUUGUUGUUGGCGGUUCACAUAUGUAUCUCUUUGACGUUAAAUUUCAUAAUUGAUGUUAUUUAGACCCAGGCCCAGAGUUUGUAAAAUGACAGUCAAAAUACAUGAAAAUAAUGUCAUUAAGUUGCAGAAAUGACGUUAAUGGAGAGUUAACUUACUUGGUGGUACCAAUGCAUGAACACCCUUUAAAGUCAAGGUGGUUAACUGAACUUACUCAUAAUGAACAGAAUAGACACAUGUAUCUGCACAGAUGCACAUGCACAUUGCAAGGCCUCGUGUGUUCAGACAGACGCACGCCCGGAGAGAGAGAGAGAGAUAGAGAGACAGAGAGAACAAACAAAUAUAAUAUUGGAUGAAGGCUUCCAGCAGUCUCAUUUUUAAAGAAAAAAGGUCGGAAAAGAGGGUCUGGUGUACUCUUCUUAGAAGGUUGGCUUUCGUGAGUUUAGCCCUAAAUCCCUGCUCAGAAGAGGUCGCUAUAAUAAUAAACGAACAAAACUUUCCAUAAAAAUGCAUGUUCUGUCUUUCCUUGGAAUUAUAAUUGACCAUCAGUGCGCUCAAGUUGACUCUAGUUUAAUAUCAGAACAACAUGAUGGUAAGACUGAAUGGUGAAGUUGGCUAGGGCCUGUCUGGUAACGAUUCUAGGCAGAUUUUUAGAAAUUUUUUUACCGUUAAUGAGCCCCACAUCUGCAAGAAAAGUGGCCAAAAAAGGGAUAGUUGCAGCAGCCGCCUUUCAGAAAUCAUUUGAAUUGUCAAAAUUAUCCUUGUGUCAGAUAAAAAUAAUAACAAUGUAGGGACAAGAUGGUAUUUUCACCUAAAUUUCUACCUGAAUGGUUGGUGAAGUCAAAGUUUGCUGCCAUUGUCUGGGCCCCAUUUACUGUAGCCAACGGACGAAUUUUUGCUUAUAAUUCGGCAAGAAUCCCUCCCAGACAGCACCUUUUAUCUUUUAUCAUGCAUAAGAUGCUCUUUCCACAUCUUGAACAAAGAGAGGGAUAUCUGCAACUAGUUUACAACCUGUAGACAGGUGCAAAUUAAAUAAAAUGAGAAGGAAAAAAGGCCUGUGUCUGGAGUUCGAGCUAUGAUCCUGUUUACAACUUUAGACGGCUGCCUUUCUACAAUCACAUCACUACCUCUAACCUAGACAUAUUUUUCCUGAUCUUCUCUGACAUAAUAAGAAAAUGAGAAUUUAUUGUACAUAUCAGUUCAUCUCUUGUGAUCUGCACUGAGUUUAAUCCAUUUCACCUUGUUCAAGACAAGCUCAAAAUUGUACAUUCUGUAAGUGAAUCUUAGAAUAGUAAAGCAAAAGGCUAAUGUCAACAGUAGAAUCUGGCAAAUCAAGCCUAAUAAAACCUGAGCUUGAAGACUUCCAUCACGUGACUGACCUCAACUAUGACUUGAUCAUAAAUUGGAGGAUUCUUUAGUACUUUGCGGCAUGUAAAAAGUACACGGUGAAUGGAGAGGUUCAUCCAACUUCCUCUAUUCUGAACCUUGCAUUGUAAUCCUAAUGUAAAAUUUAUUAUUUGGAUUAUGUCUGUAAUUUAGAAGUCUUGACCUUUAUGCUGAGAUUAGGAAUUAUAUUAUCCAGGAACUACUACAGAUGUACAUCAGCUGGAUGUCCUGUUCGAAAGCACAUUGAAAGGGCAACAGAUAGUUCAAGUGCAGUAAUAGUAUCAUACACAGGAGAACAUGAUCACGACAUGCCAGUUCCAAAGAAAACUCGUGGCCCAACGAGCGAUUCUCUUGUUGCUACUGCUUCUCCUGGUCCCAUGAACAAUUUGCAAAUUUCUGAAACUGAAGUAUAACUGAAUAAGAAAUCUACUAAAAGUUCGGGCAUUGAAUCUGGGUGAGAGAGAAAAGUGGGAUCUGAUCAAAAGUGAAUGUUCGCUUCAAAGUGGGUGAACACCACUGGAAGAGUAGAUUAUUGACGCAACUCUCUUAAUGGAAGUAUGUAACUUCAAGUAAUCUUAUUUGAUUCUUUGCUCUUUCUUUUUCCUUGUAUUUUUAAUUUUUUUAGCUUUAGAAUCGGUGAUUCAGAAUAGGUUGGUUGUUGUGGUAGUGCUUGAAACUGAUUUUGGUUGACUUUGUACACAUUGUCGUGGAUCAAAUGAAUUAGGUGUUUUUGACCAAAGGUAUUAUAUGUGCAAAAUAACACAAAUCGGUGGUGGCAAGAUUUGAAUUCUUUUCAUUGCUUUGAUAUCAUGUUAAUCAAAUCAUUUUAAAGUUCCAAGUUAUUAGAGAGAGGUAAUAUGUAAUAAAAUAAAUAUUGUCUUAGCCAUGGACGAGGAUGGGUUUCUUGCUGAUGCAACAUGCAUGUCGAUUGCAAACACGGUGUGGAUUCUUAUAUGUCGAUUGCAAAUGGUAUAUUGAACAUGCCUGUAUGAAUUCAAGGAUUUUGGAUUUAUGCAUUUCAUCAGCUUUUCUUUUCUAUUUUGUCUUCUUUUUGUAUAUUUUGUUUUAUUGGAUAUAUCAAAGUUUUCAAAAGUCCCAAUUGAAUAUGCUCUUUAAGACGACUAUUUUGAUUUGUCCACAUGAUAGCAAGAAAUAUUUAAAAUUCAGUACAAUAUGAAAUACAUGGAGAGAAACAACGUAGAGAUUUGCAUUGAAAAACUUCAAAAGAAAAAAAAAAUUACGAGGUUUGGAUAUUCCAAUAUAUAACAAUACAAAGUCAAAAUCCUAGAGAAAUAAAAUGAAAUCCACGAAUUGAGACAUUCUUAUCAUAAUGACAAAUAAAAAAUAAUAUAUAUUCAAAGGUCAUUUAAAGAGAAAAUAAAAAACGACCAUGAUUGGUACCAUAACAAGAAAAAAUACUACUCAGUUUCGAGCAUCGAACAUUGCUAACGCAUCUGUCAUUAUUUAUAAGUUGAGAACUUCGUUAGAAAGCUAGUGGCCCUUUAAAAUAUUAAAAUAAAAUAUAUGAACCAAUUGAAAAUUUGAUAAAAUAUAUAGAAUUUUGAUUAUAUUUUCAAUCGUACAAAAUGCUGGCUUCUUUCUGUUUAUAUUGAACUUCAAAAUUCCUUUUAUUUCGUGAAAGAAAAAGAAAAAUAAAAACUAAAAUUGUAUAAUAUUUCUUAUUGUUUCAAACAUUCACCAUAAUAUACAUUUCAAUUGAUGUACAAAAUAUAUCAAUUUUAUAUUUGAUAGAAAAUUAAAAUAAUAUAAUACGCAAUAUGUUAUUACUUUUUGCUCACUAAUAAUUAAUUCAAUCACGCUACACAUCCCAAAUCCCUUAACAAAGUCCCCUUACAAAAUGACAUGGCACCAGUAUUAAAAAAAAAAUUUGAAAUUUGAAAUCCGUGUCUGAUUUCUCUCCCCCCUAUUAUUCUUCCCCAUUUCUCUCUCCUAAAAUAGAACCCUUCCCGAAGCACUAACCUCCGGCAGUUACCGCACCUUCGACGUCACUAUUUAUUUGAAGAAUAUUACGUCACGAACAAAGUUACUAUUAGAUACGAUGAGAGUUUAGAAUAAAUUACCUCCCCCGCCUUCAAUCAGUCGUCGAGCCCACUAACGUCACAAAGUUAGAUCCGACGUAACUUUAGAGGUGUAGUUUAUUGUUCUUUAUUUGUUGGGUUAUGUUCGAUUUUUAGGGAAAUGCUGUGAAAUGCAAAUUCGGUUAUGUGGUUGCUAUAAAUUCGGUCUUUGGGUUGCUAUCAGUUCAUUUAUUGUAUUAAAGGGCUUAUGUUUUGGUACUGUCAAACCAUGAGCUAUUAUGAUGGUGUUCUGUGUAUAAGCUGGAUAUUAGACUUGAGAUUUCAGUUUUUUCGAAGUUUGAAAUUUGGAGUUUAUGCUAUAAUUAUUGUUCGAUUUUCAUGUUUGCUGGUUUAUUUUACUGGGUCCAAUUCAGCAAGACAGAAUGUCGUGAACAUUUUGUGAAAAAACGGGUACUGGAUUAUGCUGAAAAUGUUGACAAAUUUGUGAAAAAGGGUACUGGAUUAUGCUGAAGAAUGAUGAUUUUUGUUUAUUUGCUGCUAAUCUAAAGGCAUGUAUGUCAAGUUUCUGGGACUUUGCUUCAUUUUCCCAAAUGCAGUGAACAAAGGCAACUAUUAGUAUUUCUUGAAGCCAAUAUAUAUCAUGUGGAUUGCUUGUAUAAUUUCGAAUGCAAUUCUUCUAGACUUUAAUAAUCAUUGUGUGUGUUUUAUGUAUCAUGUUAAUGCUUUAUAGACAUUUCAGUAGAAUUUAUUAUAGUUUAUGCUUAAAUUAUUAAUAAUUUCAUAUUCAUUGUUACAACAGAAUAUCGGGAAAGAACUAUGGAGUUUGCCAUGGCUGCAGGGGUGUUGGGCACUUCUUUGGUGAUUGUCCGAUAAAACGCCGAUGCCUAGAUUGUGUGAGAGGAUUUCAGAAAUUUUUUGUGGUGAAAAAGGAAACCCAUAACAAAGGCGCGGUUUUUGGGAUUGGUGCAAACCAGAAGAAGCAAUCGGCAAAUCUAGUAACGCUAGCAUUACGUUGGCUAAACUAGCGGCACAGAAAGAAGUUGAUGAUUUGUCUCGAACAUUUGAAUCUCAAGUGCGGCUUAAUGACGACGAGGAACUUUUGAUUUCUGUGAACGUGAACUUCACCGUUCACCGUGGAAAACCACCUACUGAACGAGACAAUAAAGGGAAGAACAAUGCAUAGUGUAGUUGGUUAAAUCAUGUAAUAUGUCUUUUUUUUUGUGAUGUAGUCUUUUCUGUAAUAUGUAUUUUUUUUUUGGUGAUGUAGUCUUCGAAAGCAUUGUUCUGAUAGAAAUCUAUCUGUGGUGUAAUGGAACAUUCCAGAUUUCUAUUGUUAUUCCAGUAGUUAUUAAUCUGCACUUUUGAAUCUCAUUUAAUGUGCAUCCACAGGUAUACUAUUUCACAUGAGUUUUGAACGAGCCAUAACGGCCUUUAUUGAUCGUCGUAAAUUGGAAGGCAAACUCAUCAUAAAAGCAAAACCAUUCGACACUUGAAACAUAAGUUAAUGCACAAAUUAAAAUCAAAACUUUCAUUAUGCAAAAUUGAAAGAUCCCUUACAAUUAAGUCACAUUCGACAAUUCAAACAUGACAGGGAACAAUUACAAAAGUGGAUAAUUUGCAAAAGUCACUGUAAUAACAUUGUGGUCGAUCUUUACAAAAGUCACUGUAAUUACAAAAGUAGAUACUUUGCAAAAGUCACUGUCGUUACAAUUAAGUUAUCAGUUUUCUGAAAAACGGCUUGGAACAUGCACAAGAAAAGGCAAUGGGUUAAAGGUUGACUAUUGAACUGGGUCAAACCAGAUGCCUUCUGAAGUGGCAUUCCAACCUGGCUCAGGAUAUAUAUUUUAGUCUGCAACAAAGUGUCAAGUAAUCAAUCAAGAAGCCCAUAAUAGAAACAAUAAAAAACCACAUUAAUUAAAAACGAGCAAUAUACCAUCAAAUUGGGGAUAUUANAAUAAAAUAAAAUAAAAUAAAAUAAAAUAAUAAUAAUAAUCAUAAUAAAUAAUUAGAGCUUCCUAAAGAAUAAUGGGGUGUCUUUUUAGUCAUUGAUUAUUUCAAAAUAAUAUUCAUUUCUUUGAAUAGCACACUUGAAAUCUCUGUAUACUUUCUUUUCUUUUCUUGUGAUUAAUACAUAAGUUUAUCUGAUUUCUGGAAAACGUUCUGUUAGAAUGACCCCUCCAACCUUGAUCUCCAUAGUAAAAUAACUAAAUUUUACUUUGACAACAUUGCAUACAACUCAGCGACUGCGGAUUGCAGGUUCUGUUAAUUAGGGAAGGCACAGUAGAGUAGAUUUCUGGACAUGGACUCUCAAUGUAAAUAUUUAAACAGUACUUAGUGAAUCUUUAGAGAAAAUACAUAUUCAUAGCAAUGAAUGCUACAGAAUCCAUGCAUAACUAUUUUAGGUAUUAUUCACUUUAUAAAAAGAUUAUUGUUGUUGGCGGUUCACAUAUGUAUCUUUUUGACGUUAAAUUUCAUAAUUGAUGUUAUUUAGACCCAGGCCCAGAGUUUGUAAAAUGACAGUCAAAAUACAUGAAAAAUAAUGUCAUUAAGUUGCAGAAAUGACGUUAAUGGAGAGUUAACUUACUUGGUGGUACCAAUGCAUGAACACCCUUUAAAGUCAAGGUGGUUAACUGAACUUCCUCAUAAUGAACAGAAUAGACACAUGUAUCUGCACAGAUGCACAUGCACAUUGCAAGGCCUCGUGUGUUCAGACAGACGCACGCCCGGAGAGAGAGAGAGAGAUAGAGAGACAGAGAGAACAAACAAAUAUAAUAUUGGAUGAAGGCUUCCAGCAGUCUCAUUUUUAAAGAAAAAAGGUCGGAAAAGAGGGUCUGGUGUACUCUUCUUAGAAGGUUGGCUUUCGUGAGUUUAGCCCUAAAUCCCUGCUCAGAAGAGGUCGCUAUAAUAAUAAACGAACAAAACUUUCCAUAAAAAUGCAUGUUCUGUCUUUCCUUGGAAUUAUAAUUGACCAUCAGUGCGCUCAAGUUGACUCUAGUUUAAUAUCAGAACAACAUGAUGGUAAGACUGAAUGGUGAAGUUGGCUAGGGCCUGUCUGGUAACGAUUCUAGGCAGAUUUUUAGAAAUUUUUUUACCGUUAAUGAGCCCCACAUCUGCAAGAAAAGUGGCCAAAAAAGGGAUAGUUGCAGCAGCCGCCUUUCAGAAAUCAUUUGAAUUGUCAAAAUUAUCCUUGUGUCAGAUAAAAAUAAUAACAAUGUAGGGACAAGAUGGUAUUUUCACCUAAAUUUCUACCUGAAUGGUUGGUGAAGUCAAAGUUUGCUGCCAUUGUCUGGGCCCCAUUUACUGUAGCCAACGGACGAAUUUUUGCUUAUAAUUCGGCAAGAAUCCCUCCCAGACAGCACCUUUUAUCUUUUAUCAUGCAUAAGAUGCUCUUUCCACAUCUUGAACAAAGAGAGGGAUAUCUGCAACUAGUUUACAACCUGUAGACAGGUGCAAAUUAAAUAAAAUGAGAAGGAAAAAAGGCCUCUGUCUGGAGUUCGAGCUAUGAUCCUGUUUACAACUUUAGACGGCUGCCUUUCUACAAUCACAUCACUACCUCUAACCUAGACAUAUUUUUCCUGAUCUUCUCUGACAUAAUAAGAAAAUGAGAAUUUAUUGUACAUAUCAGUUCAUCUCUUGUGAUCUGCACUGAGUUUAAUCCAUUUCACCUUGUUCAAGACAAGCUCAAAAUUGUACAUUCUGUAAGUGAAUCUUAGAAUAGUAAAGCAAAAGGCUAAUGUCAACAGUAGAAUCUGGCAAAUCAAGCCUAAUAAAACCUGAGCUUGAAGACUUCCAUCACGUGACUGACCUCAACUAUGACUUGAUCAUAAAUUGGAGGAUUCUUUAGUACUUUGCGGCAUGUAAAAAGUACACGGUGAAUGGAGAGGUUCAUCCAACUUCCUCUAUUCUGAACCUUGCAUUGUAAUCCUAAUGUAAAAUUUAUUAUUUGGAUUAUGUCUGUAAUUUAGAAGUCUUGACCUUUAUGCUGAGAUUAGGAAUUAUAUUAUCCAGGAACUACUACAGAUGUACAUCAGCUGGAUGUCCUGUUCGAAAGCACAUUGAAAGGGCAACAGAUAGUUCAAGUGCAGUAAUAGUAUCAUACACAGGAGAACAUGAUCACGACAUGCCAGUUCCAAAGAAAACUCGUGGGCCAACGAGCGAUUCUCUUGUUGCUACUGCUUCUCUUGGUCCCAUGAACAAUUUGCAAAUUUCUGAAACUGAAGUAUAACUGAAUAAGAAAUCUACUAAAAGUUUGGGCAUUGAAUCUGGGUGAGAGAGAAAAGUGGGAUCUGGUCAAAAGUGAAUGUGCGCUUCAAAGUGGGUGAACACCACUGGAAGAGUAGAUUAUUGAUGCAACUCUCUUAAUGGAAGUACGUAACUUCAAAUAAUCUUAUUUGAUUCUUUGCUCUUUCUUUUUCCUUGUAUUUUUAAUUUUUUUAGCUUUAGAAUCGGUAAUUCGGAAUAGGUUGGUUGUUGUGGUAGUGCUUGAAACUGAUUUUGGUUGACUUUGUACACAUUAUCGUGGAUCAAAUGAAUUAGGUGUUUUUGACCAAAGGUAUUAUAUGUGCAAAAUAACACAAAUCGGUGGUGGCAAGAUUUGAAUUCUUUUCAUUGCUU
rnacentral:lncRNA from 1 species